GAUGAACGCUAGCGGCAGGCUUAAUACAUGCAAGUCGAGGGGCAGCAUGACUGUAGCAAUACAGUUGAUGGCGACCGGCAAACGGGUGCGGAACACGUACAGAACCUUCCUUCGAGCGGGGAAUAGCCCAGAGAAAUUUGGAUUAAUACCCAUAGUAUAUUUGAAAGGCAUCUUUUAAAUAUUAAAGAUUUAUCACUUGAAGAUGGCUGUGCGGCUGAUUAGGUAGUUGGCGGGGUAACGGCCCACCAAGCCUGCGAUCAGUAACUGGUGUGAGAGCACGACCAGUCACACGGGCACUGAGACACGGGCCCGACUCCUACGGGAGGCAGCAGUAAGGAAUAUUGGUCAAUGGACGAAAGUCUGAACCAGCCAUGCCGCGUGGAGGAUGAAGGUCCUCUGGAUUGUAAACUUCUUUUAUAUGGGACGAAAAAAGACUUUUCUAAGUCGUCUGACGGUACCAUAUGAAUAAGCACCGGCUAACUCCGUGCCAGCAGCCGCCGUAAGAC
rnacentral:rRNA from 1 species